ACUACAGGAUUCUCUUAGUAACUGCGAGUGAACAGAGAUUAGCCCAACAUCGAAGCCUCCGUACGUUUGUGUGGAAGGCAAUGUGAUGUAAAGGUGUUCGAUUUCGCAAACUGACUAACUUGAAGUCCAUAUUUGACUGUGGCUUACACUUAUGCUCCCAGAGAUGGUGAAAGGCCCGUUCAUGUUGGUAUUCAGAACUGACUGUUUGUGUAUAUUCGUUCACUAUUGAGUCGGAUUGCUUGAGAGUGCAGUCCAAAUUUGGUGGUAAACUCCAUCAAAGGCUAAAUACCUGUGUGAGUCCGAUAGUCAACAAGUACCGUGAGGGAAAGUUGAAAAGUACUCUGAAGAGAGAGUAAAUAGUACGUGAAACUACAUGGAGGUUAAACAGAUAGAGUCAAACUGCGU
rnacentral:rRNA from 1 species